CCUACGGGAGGCAGCAGUAGGGAAUUUCCACAAUGGGCGCAAGCCUGAUGGAGCAACACCGCGUGAGUGAAGAAGGGUUUCGGCUCGUAAAACUCUGUUGUUGAAGAAGAACGUGCGUGAGAGUAACUGUUCAUGCAGUGACGGUAUUCAACCAGAAAGUCACGGCUAACUACGUGCCAGCAGCCGCGGUAAU
rnacentral:rRNA from 1 species